rnacentral:rRNA from 1 species
ACAGGGAUUCCUUUAGUAACGGCGAGUGAAUUGGGAAGAGUCCAGCGCCAAAUUCCACGCUGGCAAGGGCGUUGGAAGAUGUGGUGUUAAGGAGGGAACGUACCGGAAGAUGACUAUGCAGAAAGUUCCCUUGACCGGGGCUUCAGCCCAGAGCGGGUGCAAGGCCCAUAUCUGCCAAGUCGGUUCCGGAUGUGACCUCUUUCGAGUCAGGUUGCUUGAGAGUGCAGCCCUAAUCUGGUGGUAAACUCCAUCUAAGGCUAAAUACAUCCGUGAGACCGAUAGCAAACAAGUACCGUGAGGGAAAGUUGUAAAGAACUUUGAAGAGAGAGUUCAAGAGUACGUGAAACUGCCCAGAGGUAAACGGGUGGGAACUCGAAAUCCUGUGGCCGGAGGAUUCAGUCUGGCGGAGAAUGGGCUCGCGUGGGAUACAUACGGUUCCGACAGCGGGCCGUGCCAUGCGUUCAGGUGCCCACGCUCUGCCCAGCGCAUUUCCUUCGGCUCGAAAGGACGCCGCAACCGGUUGGCUCUUUGCCCUAAGACGGCCAUGCGCAUGGUAUAGAGAAGUUGGCUGGUGGUGGGGCUAGCCCUCGUUGCCAGUUCUAGCCCGCCAUUGCUGGCUCGUCAGCCGACCGAGGAAUCUGCAGGUUGCACUCGUGCAGCCUCCACGUCUCCUCUUCUAUGCGGAGAGGGCGACAGAUACGUGCUGGAGAUGAAGAACCACGCACGAGCCGUGGUCGGCACGCCAGAGAUGUCGUUGGUUGCCCCUUGCGCCGCGGGAGUUGCAGAAGGCUAGCGGCGAUUUGAUCGGUAACCCACCC